GGCGGACGGGUGAGUAACGCGUAAGAACUUGCCCUUUAGACUGGGAUAACAGAGGGAAACUUCUGAUAAUACUGGAUAAGUUAGUAUAUCGCAUGAUAUGCAAAUGAAAGCUACGGCACUAAAGGAGAGCUUUGCGUCCUAUUAGCUAGUUGGUAAGGUAAGAGCUUACCAAGGCGAUGAUAGGUAGCCGGCCUGAGAGGGUGGACGGCCACAAGGGGACUGAGAUAGGCCCUUACUCCUACGGGAGGCAGCAGGC
rnacentral:rRNA from 1 species